rnacentral:rRNA from 1 species
UGUAUUUAUUAGAUAAAAAACCAAUGCCCUUCGGGGCUUUUUGGUGAUUCAUGAUAACUUUACGGAUCGCAUAGCCUUGCGCUGGCGACGGUUCAUUCAAAUUUCUGCCCUAUCAACUUUCGAUGGUAAGGUAUUGGCUUACCAUGGUUUCAACGGGUAACGGGGAAUUAGGGUUCGAUUCCGGAGAGGGAGCCUGAGAAACGGCUACCACAUCCAAGGAAGGCAGCAGGCGCGCAAAUUACCCAAUCCCGACACGGGGAGGUAGUGACAAUAAAUACUGAUACAGGGCUCUUUUGGGUCUUGUAAUUGGAAUGAGUACAAUUUAAACCUCUUAACGAGGAACAAUUGGAGGGCAAGUCUGGUGCCAGCAGCCGCGGUAAUUCCAGCUCCAAUAGCGUAUAUUAAAGUUGUUGCAGUUAAAAAGCUCGUAGUUGAAACUUGGGCCUGGCUGGCGGGUCCGCCUCACCGCGUGCACUCGUCCGGCCGGGCCUUCCUUCUGAAGAACCUCAUGCCCUCCACUGGGCGUGCUGGGAAACCAGG